rnacentral:tRNA from 1 species
CAGGGAGACAACAAAAUGUUAAAUAUUAAUUUUGUCACCUUAGGUCGAUCGGUAUCUCACAUCCUUAAAGUUAUUAAGGAUUUUAUUUCCUAAGUUUUUUUCUAGGUCACACCCAUUACUUUUCCUGGGCCAUUAGCUCAGGUGGUUGGAGCGCACCCCUGAUAAGGGUGAGGUCCCUGGUUCAAGUCCAGGAUGGCCCAUAUCUCUAUGUUGGGGGUAUAGCUCAGUUGGUAGAGCGCCUGCUUUGCAAGCAGGAUGUCAGCGGUUCGAGUCCGCUUACCUCCACUGAUUACCACCUCUUCCAUAAUUUAAGGAAUAGUUUUGAGUCGUGAUCAAAUUCUGAAAGAAUCUAGCUUCCUAAUUAUUUUUAAUUAAGAUGCUGGAUUCAUUGAAUUACCUUCAAUGUUUUCAGAGAACCUUGACAACUGCAUAGAUUAUUUUUAAAGACAAUAAGCAUCUUUAAUGAUGCAGAUUUAUUAUUUUUGCAAAUGCAAUAAUAACAAUUCUAUUAAGCUGAUGCUUCAAAAUUUUGAAGUUAUU